UAGGGAAUCUUCCGCAAUGGACGCAAGUCUGUCGGAGCAACGCCGCGCGAGUGAAGAAGGAUUUCGGUUCGUAAAACUCUGUUGUUAGAGAAGAACAGCGCAUAGAGUAACUGUUAUGCGUGUGACGGUAUCUAACCAGAAAGCCACGGCUAACUACGUGCCAGCAGCCGCGGUAAUACGUAGGUGGCAAGCGUAGUCCGGAUUUAUUGGGCGUAAAGCGAGCGCAGGCGGUCAAUUAAGUCUGAUGUGAAAGCCCCCGGCUCAACCGGGGAGGGUCAUUGGAAACUGGUUGACUUGAGUGCAGAAGAGGAGAGUGGAAUUCCAUGUGUAGCGGUGAAAUGCAUAGAUAUAUGGAGGAACACCAGUGGCGAAGGCGACUCUCUGGUCUGUAACUGACGCUGAGGUUCGAAAGCGUGGGUAGCAAACAGG
rnacentral:rRNA from 1 species